AAGGGAGACCUAAUUCAGGUAUGGGACGAAAAAAAGUAGUCGCUACCAAGAAUCAAUCCCAAAAUGUCGGAGCGAGGUAUGAGGCUUUCAAACUAGGUUCUGGGUUCAAACAAGACCUGAAUCAGGAACAAGGGCUAUUAGCUCAGGUGGUUAGAGCGCACCCCUGAUAAGGGUGAGGUCCCUGGUUCGAGUCCAGGAUGGCCCACCUGCACAGGUGGCAAAAACAAGAGAAGCGAGGAAUCAGCACCUUAUCUUAUCUAUAUAUAAGAGAGAAUGCUGGCUCUGAGUAAAGAGUCCAGAGGAACCUUGAAAACUGCAUAGAGCUAGGUGAAAAAGCCAAAAAAGAAGACCGCAA
rnacentral:tRNA from 1 species